rnacentral:rRNA from 1 species
GGGUUGUGAGGUUAAGCGACUAAGCGUACACGGUGGAUGCCCUGGCAGUCAGAGGCGAUGAAGGACGUGCUAAUCUGCGAUAAGCGUCGGUAAGGUGAUAUGAACCGUUAUAACCGGCGAUUUCCGAAUGGGGAAACCCAGUGUGAUUCGUCACACUAUCAUUAACUGAAUCCAUAGGUUAAUGAGGCGAACCGGGGGAACUGAAACAUCUAAGUACCCCGAGGAAAAGAAAUCAACCGAGAUUCCCCCAGUAGCGGCGAGCGAACGGGGAGCAGCCCAGAGCCUGAAUCAGUGUGUGUGUUAGUGGAAGCGUCUGGAAAGGCGUGCGAUACAGGGUGACAGCCCCGUACACAAAAAUGCACAUGCUGUGAGCUCGAUGAGUAGGGCGGGACACGUGGUAUCCUGUCUGAAUAUGGGGGGACCAUCCUCCAAGGCUAAAUACUCCUGACUGACCGAUAGUGAACCAGUACCGUGAGGGAAAGGCGAAAAGAACCCCGGCGAGGGGAGUGAAAAAGAACCUGAAACCGUGUACGUACAAGCAGUGGGAGCACGCUUAGGCGUGUGACUGCGUACCUUUUGUAUAAUGGGUCAGCGACUUAUAUUCUGUAGCAAGGUUAACCGAAUAGGGGAGCCGAAGGGAAACCGAGUCUUAACUGGGCGUUAAGUUGCAGGGUAUAGACCCGAAACCCGGUGAUCUAGCCAUGGGCAGGUUGAAGGUUGGGUAACACUAACUGGAGGACCGAACCGACUAAUGUUGAAAAAUUAGCGGAUGACUUGUGGCUGGGGGUGAAAGGCCAAUCAAACCGGGAGAUAGCUGGUUCUCCCCGAAAGCUAUUUAGGUAGCGCCUCGUGAAUUCAUCUCCGGGGGUAGAGCACUGUUUCGGCAAGGGGGUCAUCCCGACUUACCAACCCGAUGCAAACUGCGAAUACCGGAGAAUGUUAUCACGGGAGACACACGGCGGGUGCUAACGUCCGUCGUGAAGAGGGAAACAACCCAGACCGCCAGCUAAGGUCCCAAAGUCAUGGUUAAGUGGGAAACGAUGUGGGAAGGCCCAGACAGCCAGGAUGUUGGCUUAGAAGCAGCCAUCAUUUAAAGAAAGCGUAAUAGCUCACUGGUCGAGUCGGCCUGCGCGGAAGAUGUAACGGGGCUAAACCAUGCACCGAAGCUGCGGCAGCGACGCUUAUGCGUUGUUGGGUAGGGGAGCGUUCUGUAAGCCUGCGAAGGUGUGCUGUGAGGCAUGCUGGAGGUAUCAGAAGUGCGAAUGCUGACAUAAGUAACGAUAAAGCGGGUGAAAAGCCCGCUCGCCGGAAGACCAAGGGUUCCUGUCCAACGUUAAUCGGGGCAGGGUGAGUCGACCCCUAAGGCGAGGCCGAAAGGCGUAGUCGAUGGGAAACAGGUUAAUAUUCCUGUACUUGGUGUUACUGCGAAGGGGGGACGGAGAAGGCUAUGUUGGCCGGGCGACGGUUGUCCCGGUUUAAGCGUGUAGGCUGGUUUUCCAGGCAAAUCCGGAAAACUAAGGCUGAGGCGUGAUGACGAGGCACUACGGUGCUGAAGCAACAAAUGCCCUGCUUCCAGGAAAAGCCUCUAAGCAUCAGGUAACAUCAAAUCGUACCCCAAACCGACACAGGUGGUCAGGUAGAGAAUACCAAGGCGCUUGAGAGAACUCGGGUGAAGGAACUAGGCAAAAUGGUGCCGUAACUUCGGGAGAAGGCACGCUGAUAUGUAGGUGAAGUCCCUCGCGGAUGGAGCUGAAAUCAGUCGAAGAUACCAGCUGGCUGCAACUGUUUAUUAAAAACACAGCACUGUGCAAACACGAAAGUGGACGUAUACGGUGUGACGCCUGCCCGGUGCCGGAAGGUUAAUUGAUGGGGUUAGCGCAAGCGAAGCUCUUGAUCGAAGCCCCGGUAAACGGCGGCCGUAACUAUAACGGUCCUAAGGUAGCGAAAUUCCUUGUCGGGUAAGUUCCGACCUGCACGAAUGGCGUAAUGAUGGCCAGGCUGUCUCCACCCGAGACUCAGUGAAAUUGAACUCGCUGUGAAGAUGCAGUGUACCCGCGGCAAGACGGAAAGACCCCGUGAACCUUUACUAUAGCUUGACACUGAACAUUGAGCCUUGAUGUGUAGGAUAGGUGGGAGGCUUGGAAGUGUGGACGCCAGUCUGCAUGGAGCCGACCUUGAAAUACCACCCUUUAAUGUUUGAUGUUCUAACGUUGACCCGUAAUCCGGGUUGCGGACAGUGUCUGGUGGGUAGUUUGACUGGGGCGGUCUCCUCCUAAAGAGUAACGGAGGAGCACGAAGGUUGGCUAAUCCUGGUCGGACAUCAGGAGGUUAGUGCAAUGGCAUAAGCCAGCUUGACUGCGAGCGUGACGGCGCGAGCAGGUGCGAAAGCAGGUCAUAGUGAUCCGGUGGUUCUGAAUGGAAGGGCCAUCGCUCAACGGAUAAAAGGUACUCCGGGGAUAACAGGCUGAUACCGCCCAAGAGUUCAUAUCGACGGCGGUGUUUGGCACCUCGAUGUCGGCUCAUCACAUCCUGGGGCUGAAGUAGGUCCCAAGGGUAUGGCUGUUCGCCAUUUAAAGUGGUACGCGAGCUGGGUUUAGAACGUCGUGAGACAGUUCGGUCCCUAUCUGCCGUGGGCGCUGGAGAACUGAGGGGGGCUGCUCCUAGUACGAGAGGACCGGAGUGGACGCAUCACUGGUGUUCGGGUUGUCAUGCCAAUGGCACUGCCCGGUAGCUAAAUGCGGAAGAGAUAAGUGCUGAAAGCAUCUAAGCACGAAACUUGCCCCGAGAUGAGUUCUCCCUGACUCCUUGAGAGUCCUGAAGGAACGUUGAAGACGACGACGUUGAUAGGCCGGGUGUGUAAGCGCAGCGAUGCGUUGAGCUAACCGGUACUAAUGAACCGUGAGGCUUAACCUUACAACGCCGAAGGUGUUU